GAGACGGCAGUGGUUGAAACAAAGCGGUAUGUUUUGACUGGCACUAACGGCACUAACGGCACAACGGUUGAGGAGUGAAGAUCAGUUGAGCGUUUCUGUGACUCCGCCCAGCGGCUGCUCUUCUGAGAGGCACCGCUCUGACAGCUCUGUCUACUGGGAAACGCGCUAAAAGUCCUUCUGGAGGCUUUGCAUUUGAACUCCUAUGACUGGUUGCGGUCUUGAAGGGAAUGACUUCCUGGCCUUCCUGACAUCCAGGAAAAUGUUUUAUUUGACAGUAGAGAUCUAAUGGAAACAGUGGAGAGGGAGGAGAUGAUAUGCAGCAAAAGGCCGAGCCGGAUGGUUGCUGCUCCAUGUGGAACGUGUUCGAUCAGGUAAAGCACUUUGGUACCCAGUUAUUUAUGGUAUUGAGUUUGAAUUUAGCCUUUG